rnacentral:rRNA from 1 species
AUUGAACGCUGGCGGCAGGCCUAACACAUGCAAGUCGAACGGUAACAGGAAGCAGCUUGCUGCUUUGCUGACGAGUGGCGGACGGGUGAGUCAUGUCUGGGAAACUGCCCGAUGGAGGGGGAUAACUACUGGAAACGGUAGCUAAUACCGCAUAACGUCGCAAGCCCAAAGAGGGGGACCUUAGGGCCUCUUGCCAUCGUAUGUGCCCAGGUGGGCAUAGUGAGUAGGUGGGGUUACGAGUCACCUAGGGGGCGAUCCCUAGCUGGUCUGAGAGGCAGCCCGGCGGCACUGGAGCUGAGACACGGUCCAGAGUCCUGCGAGAGGCAGCAGAGGGGUAUAUUGCGCAGUGGGGGCAAACCUGAUGCAGCCAUGCCGCGUGUAUGAAGGAGGCCUUCGGGUUGUAAAGUACUUUCAGCGGGGAGGAAGGGAGUAAAGUUAAUACCUUUGCUCAUUGACGUUACCCGCAGAAGAAGCACCGGCUAACUCCGUG